UACGGAGGAUGCGAGCGUUAUCCGGAUUUAUUGGGUUUAAAGGGUGCGCAGGCGGAGGUGCAAGUCAGUGGUCAAAUUGCGGGGCUCAACCCCGUACUGCCGUUGAAACUGCAUCCCUUGAGUGCGCGAGAAGUAUGCGGAAUGCGUGGUGUAGCGGUGAAAUGCAUAGAUAUCACGCAGAACUCCGAUUGCGAAGGCAGCUUACUAAGCCAUAACUGACACUGAAGCACGAAAGCGUGGGGAUCAAACAGG
rnacentral:rRNA from 1 species